rnacentral:rRNA from 1 species
GGGGAAACGACAUCGAAAGCUUGCUUUUGAUGGGCGUCGACCGGCGCACGGGUGAGUAACGCGUAUCCAACCUGCCCACCACUUGGGGAUAACCUUGCGAAAGUAAGACUAAUACCCAAUGACGUCUCUAGAAGACAUCUGAAAGAGAUUAAAGAUUUAUCGGUGAUGGAUGGGGAUGCGUCUGAUUAGCUUGUUGGCGGGGUAACGGCCCACCAAGGCAACGAUCAGUAGGGGUUCUGAGAGGAAGGUCCCCCACAUUGGAACUGAGACACGGUCCAACUCCUACGGGAGGCAGCAGUGAGGAAUAUUGGUCAAUGGACGAGAGUCUGAACCAGCCAAGUAGCGUGCAGGAUGACGGCCCUAUGGGUUGUAAACUGCUUUUAUAAGGGAAUAAAGUGAGUCUCGUGAGACUUUUUGCAUGUACCUUAUGAAUAAGGACCGGCUAAUUCCGUGCCAGCAGCCGCGGUAAUACGGAAGGUCCGGGCGUUAUCCGGAUUUAUUGGGUUUAAAGGGAGCGUAGGCCGGAGAUUAAGCGUGUUGUGAAAUGUAGACGCUCAACGUCUGCACUGCAGCGCGAACUGGUUUCCUUGAGUACGCACAAAGUGGGCGGAAUUCGUGGUGUAGCGGUGAAAUGCUUAGAUAUCACGAAGAACUCCGAUUGCGAAGGCAGCUCACUGGAGCGCAACUGACGCUGAAGCUCGAAAGUGCGGGUAUCGAACAGGAUUAGAUACCCUGGUAGUCCGCACGGUAAACGAUGGAUGCCCGCUGUUGGUCUGAAUAGGUCAGCGGCC